GAUGGUGCAGAUUCAGUUUACUGAAUGAAAGGGAUUAUUUUCUCAUGAGUGAACUUUUCAGCUGUAGUUCUUUGACCAGUGUGAGACUCUCGUGGUGAUUCUGAUGGGAAAAGGAAACAGGAACAGUUCUCAGACUUACCUCAGGAUGGAAGCCAUGACAAGAUUCUGGGCGCCUUCUGAUCUUCUGGGCCUUUAGACGUUCACACUUAAGGGAUUCAUUCUGAUUUCAAUGGGUGCCAUGGUGAUGGGGGCCACAGAUUCACAGAGGCAGCUGCUGUCCACCACCACCAUGAACAGGUUGCUGCUUGGGAUUUGCUGGAUGACAAAGGACCUGUUGGAACAAGAGGUAGCGAGGCAGUCAUUUACCAUCCGUCAAUUAAAGAGCCAUGAGGAAGACUUCUCUCCUGGGUGGUAGCAACUACCAUAUUUUGUAAAGCAAAUUUUGGAGACUAUUUUACUACUAAUGUUACCUUCUUUCUCCAUGAGGCUCUUCACUUACAAAUACCUAGCUUCACUAGGAAAACAACAAUAGCUAUGACGACAUGCGGCUCAUACAACUCACCUUGGAAAGACUGAAGUGCUGUAUGUACAAAACACAAGAGUCAGAGUUGGCUGAAUCACCUGUUCCCAAGGUUUAAGAGGUCAGACUUUCAAAGCCUAAUUUCCUUCUCCCAGAGCCUAAACAUUACCCCAAGUUACAUUUGAUGUUCCUCUAAGUGGCGUUUUCUCUCCUCCUUCCCUCAACGAUAGACUGAAACUAUGUCAUACCAAUGGCAAAAGAGAUAGUGAACUUCUUAGAGCCUUCCUUAUACUGCUUUGCACAACGUCUGCCCAGUAUACAGGAACAGUGUUUUGAAUGAGAUUAAUGCUAGUCAUUUAUGAGGUCCCACACUUCCCAGAGCCCAAGUUCUAUAAGAAAGAGCCAAGGCUGUAUAUCUGCUCUGACCUUCUGAUCCAUCAGGAUAGUUAGUCCAACUUAAACAAGCUUGGCAGUGCCUCCUUCUCACAUUGCCCAACAUGGUGAAGUGACAAAGAAAGACACUAUAAAAUAAUCCUUUAACAAACACAAAACACUACUGACUCUUUCUUUGGAGGAACAAAUGAGGGAUCAAAAUCUCAUAUUCUUCCAGAACCAGAUUAGCUAAAUAUUUAACUCCAGGGUUAGAACCCCUAUCGCAUAAUAUUUCAUUAAAUUCAGUUUAAUAGAUUUUAACUUAACAAAUGGAAAUUAACAAAAUUGUCAGUUUCUCCAAAGUUUUAUCUUCAUUUGCCUUUCUCGCAAUAAAUUUGUUCCAUUCUUUUGAGUAUAUCACCAUGGUGAACUAAAAUCAUGCAAUGAAGAAAAGUUCUUCUGCUUUAUGGGACGUUAUAAAGAAGGGAAAGGGACUCCCCCUUUUUUAACCUGUUGCCACCUCAUAUGUUGAAUGAUCCAUGAGAAUGAUCCAUGAAUGCCUCUCAGAGAGACUGCAACACAAUUGGUUUCUUUCUUUUCUAUAAAUGCCCAAUGCCCAUCUAAUAUUCCACAGUUAUGUUCACAGGGCUUGCCACUGUGCAAAGAUGUUUCCUCAAUGCCUUAACCACUAUCCACACUGGGACACCUACUCUCUGCUCUUCCUACUCUUGUCUAGAACUAUAUCUGGCCUCAGAAAAAUAUUCAGUCUUGCUGUUUUGCUAAUUAAUUUCAUCUAUAUCUGUCUGUAUCUUCUUUACCUUCCCUCUUUAACACUAGACUCUUUCUUGCCUAUGCAAGAAUGUUACUCCAGCAGUUGGCCUCUACUGAAUGGAUUUUGCCCAUCAACAUAAAUAUAUUCUACCUGAGAUAGCUAGCUCUCAUCAGAGAACCAACAAUUUCCACCUUUGAGGCGGCAGGUUAACAGAGUCUCAAAGACAAGUACAAAACCAAGAUCACAAAACACUCUGAAGAACAAAUGGCUGACUAGAAGAUUAAGCCAAGUGUGUCUGCCAGAUGAACAAUAAAGGAGAAGAGAUGAAAAUAUGACAUAAAAGAUCCAAAGGAGAAAAUAUUUCUUGCACUGAAAAAACAAAUCCAAUUCUUUUCAAUGAGUGAGCCCACUGAAACAUGAGUAAAAAACUUCCUAUCAUCAAUCAUCAAAGAUACAGACCAAUCCUAAAAGCUUCCCUAGAAACAAAUUACUUAGAAUGAGAAUAAAACCAGUUGCUCAAUGGGAGUACUGAAGAUGAAGAAACAGAGUAAAAUAUUUAAAGAAGUUCUGAGGAAAAAAGAGAGUCAGUCAAAGGUAUGCCAGUGUCUAUAUUCUAAAUCUCUGUAGAUAUUUAUAGAAAAUUAUAUUUUCAAAUUAGGAAUAAUCAUUGAAAAAUAUUAAAAAGUAUUUAAAACCUGAUCAAUAUGGAUAGCAUGAGAAAUUAAACACCCCCUACAGACACAUGACUGCCAGUAUAAGCCUAAAAUUAUUACCAAUCACAAUAACUGUGAGGUUGUUAGAUUCACAUAUUAAAAGGGCAAAGACUCUUAAAUUGGGUUUAUAAACAUUAUGAUGUUUGUUUGCCACAAACACUCCUAAAACAGAAUGACACAGGAGAAGGGGAAAAUAUAUCAAAAAUAUGCUAACAAAAAAAGAAACAGGUUCAGGUUUAGCAGUAAUAUACAGAUAUUCAGAGUAAAAUAAAUAUCAUUAAAAUAUAGUAAAUAAGAGUUCAUACCAAAAAGUAUUAUAAUCCACUAACAAGAUAAAAUAUGAUUCUUUAGUCACAUAAUGAUCACAGUAUACUAACUGAAAGAAAUAACAAAAGGGAUUUCUGAAAGCAUGAUCUGUUAAAAAUAUGGACCCAAAACUCUUCAGAUAUAAACAGCACAGAAUAUAAAUUAUUUUCAAACACAGGGAACUGCAACACAUUCCAAAGAACCUAUAGUACUGAUUACACAUUCUUCUUUUAUGGUAGAGUCCAAUUAGAAAUGAAUACCAAAAAGAUAUAAACAGUGAAAAUUAAAAGUUAAAAAACACCUUUCAUCAAUCCUUGAGAUUUGAUAAUAGCCCAGAUUCACAUUUGUGCGGUAGAACCUUAGACAUUUUCAUCAGAAAAAAUAAAUAAAGGUCGCAAAUAUUUGACUCAGUUUUCAAAUCAAGAAGCUGGAAAAAUAAGAAGAUAAACCUGCACCUGUGCCCUAUACAUUGUCUUCCCCCUUGUCCACUGGAUUGAGUAUUAAUGUCCCUCUGCAAAGCCUAUCUUUCAGGCUUCUUCAAGGAUGUGACUGGUGGAAAAGAAGAGAUAGGUGACCGCUGCACAAAUGGUUCCCCUCAUCUACUAGCCCUUCCUGGAGGUUGGCAAACAUGCUGUCACAUCUCCCAGCUCAGGAAAAACAAAACUGUCUCUUAACCCUCCCUCCUGCAACCACCCCAUUUCUCUGUUUUUCCUUAUAGCACAACUCCUAAAAAUAAUUAUCUAUAAUCCUUCUCUCUCUCCCUCCAACUCUCUCUCUUCACACAUCUCCCUCCUUCAGAAAUUGUAUUCCAACAAGGCUGUAGUCCUCAUCACUCCAACUGAAUCAGUUAUUGCCAAGGACACCAAUGACUUCACCACUUUCCUUCUGCCUCUUCUUCCUUGCUUGUUUACUGUCUGCCCCUCAUAAAAGACUGUAGUUUCCAAGGCAACAGGGCUGCACCUGACUGCCUGAGGUUGUGAGUUAUCUCUAGCACCUAGGGUUGUGCCUGGGAUAGAGCAACUUCUCAGUAAGUAUUUGUUGAGUCAGUGACAGAACUUGAAAUGAUAAAGGCAGAAGAAUAAAAAAUUAAACUGUGAAGAUAACCAACAGAAUC
rnacentral:lncRNA from 10 species